rnacentral:ncRNA from 2 species
UGGUAUGAAUAAGCGCCUGGACCAGUACAUGGUUGACGAGGGGGAAGUUUAAUCGAAAAUUCGGCGGAUGCUUCCCGGUUGCUGCAUGACCGAAAAAGAUAUCUUAAAUCCUAAAAGUAAUUUUAGGGACAAAGGGUAUUAGAUGCAGUG